UUUUUCAAUUGCAUCCCCAGGCUGUACCACCUUUGCUGCUGCAGUGUGCCUUUUUCUUUUUUGAGACCCACCUGCCCUACCCCCAGUUGUUGUGUCCCAGAGUGUCUGCCCGGCCCAAAUGCCUCAGAGUGUGACACCUGGCCAGACUUCAGCAGAAGAUGCUGGUCGCUGGAAGGCUCCUGCACACGCUUUAGGAACGGAUGGUUCAGCUGCUCCACUGGUUCUCUGUGUCAUGUGAACCCACCCUGUGAAACUGGAAGAGGAGAAAAAAGUGAGCAGAGGCAGUUUUGCCCAUUUGCCUCCUGACCUCCCUCCAAAUUCAAACUGAGAGCUUGUAGCUGAGCCUUACUUGUAUCCACCCCCCUGGAAAAUGAAACUGAGUAGACAGUAUGACCUGCCUUAUAUGCAUCAAAUGUGUUUGAACCUAUGUGCCCAAGCAGAGAAGAGUACCACGGAGCAGGUACAGAAUGUCUUUCCCUCACUUUAGAGCAACAAUGCCCAUGUUAGGAUUAGAGGGCAGAGCAACCCACUCAGAUAAUGUGUCUAUCACCAGGAUUGAGCCCCAGCACCUCUCAUUUGAUAAAGCAUCGCCGUUUCUGCUCAGAACAGAUGGAUUUCUCGGUGUGACGAUCAUACAUUCCAGAAGUGGAAAAUGGAAGAAGGUUUUAAAAACUUUUUGACGGAAAAACCUCAUGAAAACAUAAUCGUUCUACAGCCCAACCAGAGAAAUUGGAAUAAAGUUACAGGUAGUGUAGAAAGCUCCUGAAUUGAAAAGGAAAGGAGAUUUGGAAACCUUCUGUUUUUAUGAACUUGCUUAUCUAUUUCAGGUAAAAGGGAGAGGUCCUUUCAUUUCAGAAAGAGAAGGGAAAUUGUUUGUAUGUAAGAUUAAUCAUACAGUUAGUCCUUAAGCAGGGUUGGUUGGAAAGUAGAUGUUGCUAUGGCACAAUAUUGCUAAAAGACAUUGAUUAUGUUAAAUGUAUAUUCUAGUAGUUAUACGCAUUUGUAUAG